UACGUAGGGGGCAAGCGUUGUCCGGAUUUAUUGGGCGUAAAGAGCGUGUAGGCGGCUAGAUAGGUCCGUUGUGAAAACUCGAGGCUCAACCUCGAGACGUCGAUGGAAACCAUCUGGCUAGAGUCCGGAAGAGGAGAGUGGAAUUCCUGGUGUAGCGGUGAAAUGCGCAGAUAUCAGGAAGAACACCUAUGGCGAAGGCAGCACUCUGGGACGGUACUGACGCUGAGACGCGAAAGCGUGGGGAGCAAACAGG
rnacentral:rRNA from 1 species